UACGGGGGGGGGCAAGCGUUGUUCGGAAUUACUGGGCGUAAAGGGCUCGUAGGCGGCCAACUAAGUCGGAUGUGAAAUCCCCAGGCUUAACCUGGGAACUGCAUCCGAUACUGGAUGGCUUGAAUCCGGGAGAGGGAUGCGGAAUUCCAGGUGUAGCGGUGAAAUGCGUAGAUAUCUGGAGGAACACCGGUGGCGAAGGCGGCAUCCUGGACCGGCAUUGACGCUGAUGAGCGAAAGCGUGGGGAGCAAACAGG
rnacentral:rRNA from 1 species